rnacentral:rRNA from 1 species
CGAACGGGUGAGUAACACGUAGGAACCUGCCGCGUCGUGGGGGAUAACGCUGGGAAACUGGCGCUAAUACCGCAUGUGGUCAUGUGGAAACGCAUGAAGAAAGCAGCAAUCCGCUCGAGGACGGGACCGCGUCCCAUUAGCUAGUUGGUGGGGUAACGGCCUACCAAGGCACCGAUGGGUAGCUGGUUUGAGAGAGCGACCAGCCACACUGGGACUGAGAAACGGCCCAG